GUCGCGAGAAGUCCAUUGAACCUUAUCAUUUAGAGGAAGGAGAAGUCGUAACAAGGUUUCCGUAGGUGAACCUGCGGAAGGAUCAUUGUCGAAACCUGCAAAGCAGACCGCGAACACGUUCCCCGACACAUCGGGGCCUCGGCGUGGGGUGCCCCCUCCCGCCGUUGCCCCUCCCCGCGGGGCGUGCGCGCCCCGUGGGCUAACGAACCCCGGCGCGGGAUGCGCCAAGGAAAACAUAAAACGAAACGCCACCGCACCCCCCGCCCCGUUCGCGGUGCGCUCGGGUGGGUGCGCGCGGCGUCUCCCAUAAUUAACGACUCUCGGCAACGGAUAUCUCGGCUCUCGCAUCGAUGAAGAACGUAGCGAAAUGCGAUACUUGGUGUGAAUUGCAGGAUCCCGUGAACCAUCGAGUCUUUGAACGCAAGUUGCGCCCGAAGCCAUUAGGCCGAGGGCACGUCUGCCUGGGCGUCACGCAUCGCGUCGCCCCCCUCCAUCGCCCGCACGGCCGGGCGGUGGGAGCGGGGGCGGAGAUUGGCCUCCCGUGAGCACGAGCGCGCGGACGGCCCAAAUCGGAUCCCCCGGCGGCGCAAGUCACGGCCAGUGGUGGUUGAGGACAUCAACUCUCGUGCUGACAGCCGUGCGCUACCGCGUCGCCUUUCGGGCACCGAAAACGACCCAACGGCGCACUCGCGCCUUCGACCGCGACCCCAGGUCAGGCGGGAUCACCCGCUGAGUUUAAGCAUAUCAAUAAGCGGAGG
rnacentral:sRNA from 1 species